UCGAAAUGAAAUUAAUAUUGUUUUUGACUUGACAAGUUUAUUGCAUAUGAAAUACAAUUCAUUUGAAACACAUUUAUGUUCAACGGAAGUUAAUAGCGACUUAAUCGAGUCUUCUAUGUUUGCUAAUACUGAAUUAUUAUCAACAGAAAUAGAUUGUGAAUUUCAACCAGUGAGAAUAUCUAACUCAAACGUAAACGAAUUAAAUUUGUCAGAUGUUCA